UACGGAGAGUGCGAACGUUGUUCGGAUUCACUGGGCGUAAAGGGCACGUAGGCGGCUUGGCAAAUCGGUCGUGGAAUCCCGACGCUUACCGUCGGAACGGCGGCCGAAAAUACCGAGCUCGAGGGCGUGAGGGGUCACUGGAACUCCUGGUGAAGCGGUGAAAUGCGUAGAUAUCAGGAGGAACGCCGGAGGCGAAAGCGAGUGACUGGCGCGUUCCUGACGCUGAGGUGCGAAAGCUAGGGGAGCAAACAGG
rnacentral:rRNA from 1 species